AGGCGCGUAGCUCAGGGGUUAGAGCGCUACCUUGACACGGUAGAGGUCGGCGGUUCGAGACCGCCCGCGCCUACCA
rnacentral:tRNA from 1 species